rnacentral:rRNA from 1 species
GGUUAAGCGACUAAGCGUACACGGUGGAUGCCUAGGCAGUCAGAGGCGAUGAAGGGCGUGCUAAUCUGCGAAAAGCGUCGGUAAGCUGAUAUGAAGCGUUAUAACCGACGAUACCCGAAUGGGGAAACCCAGUGCAAUACGUUGCACUAUCGUUAGAUGAAUACAUAGUCUAACGAGGCGAACCGGGGGAACUGAAACAUCUAAGUACCCCGAGGAAAAGAAAUCAACCGAGAUUCCCCCAGUAGCGGCGAGCGAACGGGGAGGAGCCCAGAGUCUGAAUCAGUUUGUGUGUUAGUGGAAGCGUCUGGAAAGUCGCACGGUACAGGGUGAUAGUCCCGUACACCAAAAUGCACAGGCUGUGAACUCGAUGAGUAGGGCGGGACACGUGACAUCCUGUCUGAAUAUGGGGGGACCAUCCUCCAAGGCUAAAUACUCCUGACUGACCGAUAGUGAACCAGUACCGUGAGGGAAAGGCGAAAAGAACCCCGGCGAGGGGAGUGAAAUAGAACCUGAAACCGUGUACGUACAAGCAGUGGGAGCACCUUCGUGGUGUGACUGCGUACCUUUUGUAUAAUGGGUCAGCGACUUAUAUUUUGUAGCAAGGUUAACCGAAUAGGGGAGCCGUAGGGAAACCGAGUCUUAACUGGGCGUCUAGUUGCAAGGUAUAGACCCGAAACCCGGUGAUCUAGCCAUGGGCAGGUUGAAGGUUGGGUAACACUAACUGGAGGACCGAACCGACUAAUGUUGAAAAAUUAGCGGAUGACUUGUGGCUGGGGGUGAAAGGCCAAUCAAACCGGGAGAUAGCUGGUUCUCCCCGAAAGCUAUUUAGGUAGCGCCUCGUGAACUCAUCUUCGGGGGUAGAGCACUGUUUCGGCUAGGGGGCCAUCCCGGCUUACCAAACCGAUGCAAACUCCGAAUACCGAAGAAUGUUAUCACGGGAGACACACGGCGGGUGCUAACGUCCGUCGUGAAGAGGGAAACAACCCAGACCGCCAGCUAAGGUCCCAAAGUCAUGGUUAAGUGGGAAACGAUGUGGGAAGGCACAGACAGCCAGGAUGUUGGCUUAGAAGCAGCCAUCAUUUAAAGAAAGCGUAAUAGCUCACUGGUCGAGUCGGCCUGCGCGGAAGAUGUAACGGGGCUAAACCAUGCACCGAAGCUGCGGCAGCGACACUUAGGUGUUGUUGGGUAGGGGAGCGUUCUGUAAGCCGUUGAAGGUGACCUGUGAGGGUUGCUGGAGGUAUCAGAAGUGCGAAUGCUGACAUAAGUAACGAUAAUGCGGGUGAAAAACCCGCACGCCGGAAGACCAAGGGUUCCUGUCCAACGUUAAUCGGGGCAGGGUGAGUCGACCCCUAAGGCGAGGCUGAAAAGCGUAGUCGAUGGGAAACAGGUUAAUAUUCCUGUACUUGGUGUUACUGCGAAGGGGGGACGGAGAAGGCUAGGCUGGCCGGGCGACGGUUGUCCCGGUUUAAGCGUGUAGGGGGAGUGACCAGGUAAAUCCGGUUGCUUAUCAACCCUGAGGCGUGAUGACGAUGCACCACGGUGCAGAAGCAGUUGAUGCCAUGCUUCCAGGAAAAGCCUCUAAGCAUCAGGUAACAUUAAAUCGUACCCCAAACCGACACAGGUGGUCAGGUAGAGAAUACUCAGGCGCUUGAGAGAACUCGGGUGAAGGAACUAGGCAAAAUGGUGCCGUAACUUCGGGAGAAGGCACGCUGGCGUUAGGUGAAAGGACUAGCUCCUGGAGCUGAAGCCAGUCGCAGAUACCAGCUGGCUGCAACUGUUUAAUAAAAACACAGCACUGUGCAAACACGAAAGUGGACGUAUAC